GUGGAAAAUAUUCAAAAGAAUUAUUGUAAAUUUUAGAACUGACAUAAGUCAUCUGAAUUUUAGAAGUUUUAUGAAAAGGGCCUAAGGAAAACACGCAGUUUACAGACAGAAGGCUGGGUGGACUUAACAAUAGGUCUAGUGCCCGAUGACUAAGAUAGAGCUCAGAAAACUUCACCUCCUCAUAGUCAUGUCUGAUUUCCCCUCCCACACUGAGCUAUGGCUGGCCUAGUUAAAAGAUAGAACGUGAUGGAAGUGCAGGUCAUAAAGGCUCAGGAGAUGAUGUCUCCCUCCCUUUGUUUGCUCAUUCUGAAGAAAGGGCACUCACAAGCAGACACAUGCAAAGUCCUAGAAAGAAGAUCUGACUCAUUAGCUGAGUAAGUGAGCGACUCCAGGAGUAGAUUCCAAACUCAAGUCAAGCCACAGGUGACUGCGGCCACAGCAAGCAUCUGACUGCAAAUUCCUGGGAGAACUGAGCCAAAUAAUUCAAUGAAACAGUUGAUCAUUCCAGAUAACUCUGUGUACACAGAAAUCAUGAGAGACAAAUGAAUACGGUGACUUCAAGGCAGUAGAUUCUGGAUUAACUUUUAUUCAACAAUAAAGAGCUUAUUUUAAAAAAUGGUUAUUACCUAACCCAGGAAAAGGAAAGAGAAGACACUGAAAGAAUACGCAAGAACCUGGUGGGUUGGACAAUACCGUGAUUUCUUACUUACAAAUAAGAAGACAUAAGACUAGGGUAGGAAACCUACUUGGAAAAACUAUAGCCUGAAUUUUCCAUCAGAUUUGUUGAAAUAACAUUAGUUAUAGAUCCCAGAAACUCAACAAACUAAACAGCAGAGAUAACACCAUCUGUAUCAAACUUGAAGCUGGGAGAUGUUUUUGUUAGGUGCUGAACGUAUCUGUAUUAAACAUUUAGGAAAGUAACGAUAGAAAAAUAGAUCGCUGCUCAUCAAAAAUAGCAUAGCCUUUUUAAAAUUCAGUUGUAAUUUGUUCUGCCCAUAUACUGUCAGAUGUGUGGCCUUCCACUGGAGUAUGGUCAGUUUACCAGGGGCUAAACAUUUUUUGGAAAAAAAAUGUCUUUUUAUUUCAUGUGUAUGGAUGUUUUGUCUAUAUGUUAUGUCUAAGCACUGCAUUAAUACAGUGCCCACAGAGGCCAUUAGAGGGCAUUGGCUCCCACUGGGACUAGAGCUACAGAUAGUUGUAAGCUGACAUGGGGUACUAGGACCUGAAAUCUGGUCCUCUGGAAGAGCAGCAAGUUCUGUUGACCACCUAGUCAUCUCUCCAGUUGUGAAGAUCUACACUAUUAAGACUGACUCCUCCUUGCAGCAGCUAUCAAUGACUAGUAGUACUUCAGCUAUGGGGAGGACUUUGCUCUAACCUCCUCCUGUCAUAGUAGAAUUGGAUCUUUCUUGAGCUCAUACAGGUCUUGUGUAUGUCAUACUACUAAAUGUUUAUGUUCAGUUCUCUUGCUUCCAGAAGACCCUUCCCUGGUAGACCUCCAUUGUCUUUGAGCCUGAUGAUUGGGAAGGACAGGCCUCAGAAGAUGACCCAAGUCCUGAAAUUUGGGAUGACAGGUUUAUUUUUCAUCCCUUUACAUUCAGGAACCAAGAGGGAAGACAGCUAGAGAGAAGAUGCAGCGGUUAUGAGCCCACAGAGCUCUUACCCAGGACCCAGGUCAGGUUCCCAGCACCAACAGUAGCAGCUCACAGUAGCCGUUAACUCCAGUCCCAGGAAUCUGACCCCUCUUCAGGCCUCUGUGGGCUCCAGCAUGCACCUCACGCAGGGCUCACACACUCAUCCUGGCUCAAAUGCGUGUGCACAAUAAACAAACAAUGUUCAGGAAAAGAAA